rnacentral:rRNA from 1 species
GAUGAACGCUGGCGGCGUGCCUAAUACAUGCAAGUCGAGCGAACAGACGAGGAGCUUGCUCUUCUGACGUUAGCGGCGGACGGGUGAGUAACACGUGGAUAACCUACCUAUAAGACUGGGAUAACUUCGGGAAACCGGAGCUAAUACCGGAUAAUAUAUUGAACCGCAUGGUUCAAUAGUGAAAGACGGUUUUGCUGUCACUUAUAGAUGGAUCCGCGCCGCAUUAGCUAGUUGGUAAGGUAACGGCUUACCAAGGCAACGAUGCGUAGCCGACCUGAGAGGGUGAUCGGCCACACUGGAACUGAGACACGGUCCAGGCUCCUACGGGAGGCAGCAGUAGGGAAUCUUCCGCAAUGGGCGAAAGCCUGACGGAGCAACGCCGCGUGAGUGAUGAAGGUCUUCGGAUCGUAAAACUCUGUUAUUAGGGAAGAACAAAUGUGUAAGUAACUAUGCACGUCUUGACGGUACCUAAUCAGAAAGCCACGGCUAACUACGUG